GUUGCCACCACGAGAGGUGGGGACGUCAGGCGGGACCGCCGGUGACAAACCGGAGGAAGGUGGGGACGGACGUCAAGUCAUCAUGGCCCUUAUGUCCUGGGCUACACACGUGCUACAAUGGCCGGUACAGAGCGCAGCGAGGCCGCGAGGCGGAGCGAAUCGCUUAAAGCCGGUCCCAGUACGGAUUGGAGUCUGCAACCCGACUCCAUGAAGUUGGAAUCGCUAGUAAUCGCGCAUCAGCAUGGCGCGGUGAAUACGUUCCCGGGCCUU
rnacentral:rRNA from 1 species